rnacentral:pre_miRNA from 1 species
AAUUUACUCCCUCCGUCCCAAAAUAAGUGUCUUGAGCUUAGUACAAAUUCGUACUAGAGCUAGUACAAAGUUGAGACACUUAUUUUGGGACGGAGGGAGUAUUUG